rnacentral:rRNA from 1 species
UACGAAGGGGGCUAGCGUUGCUCGGAAUCACUGGGCGUAAAGCGCACGUAGGCGGCUUGUUAAGUCAGGGGUGAAAUCCUGGAGCUCAACUCCAGAACUGCCUUUGAUACUGGCGAGCUUGAGUCCGGGAGAGGUGAGUGGAACUGCGAGUGUAGAGGUGAAAUUCGUAGAUAUUCGCAAGAACACCAAUGGCGAAGGCAGCUCGCUGGGACGUUACUGACGCUGAGACGCGAAAGCGUGGGGAGCAAACAGG